UUGCAUAGCUAUACUGUGCCAGGUACUGUUCCAGUCACUGAAGGUACUUCACCGACAAAGUCCCUGCUCUAUGGAGUUUACACUCAGGGUCCCCUGGUGCUGUUUUGAGAAGAGACUGGCCAGAGGCACGAGUGGAGACAGGAAGCCCAGGAGGAGACGCUCUGUGAGCAUAAGGUCGGAAGGUCCACCUAUAAUGUGCCACUGGGCACCUGAACCCGGUCCAGGCCUGUAAGUGAGGACGAGGGAGUGCUGUUUCUGCUACUUAAGCCAAUCGAUGGUCCUGCUUUAAAGGAACCGAUUUCCUUCCUUGUAAACCCAAGUAUAUAAUAA